CCUACGGGAGGCUGCAGUAGGGAAUCUUCCGCAAUGGACGAAAGUCUGACGGAGCAACGCCGCGUGAGCGAUGAAGGCCUUCGGGUCGUAAAGCUCUGUUGUUAGGGAAGAACAAGUAUCGGAGUAACCGCAGGUACCUUGACGGUACCUAACCAGAAAGCCACGGCCAACUACGUGCCAGCAACCGCGGCAAUACGUAGGUUGCAAGCGUUGUCCGGAAUUAAUGGGCGUAAAGACCGUGCAGGCGGUAAAUAACAGCUGAGGUGAAAGCACAUGAAGACACCGUGGAGGAUAAUUGGAAACUGGGGGACUUGAGUACAGAACAGGUGAGGGCAAAUUCACUCGUCGCGACGAAAUGCGUAGAGAUUGUGAGGAGCACCAGCGGCGACGGCAGCUAUAUGAUCUGUAACUGAAGCUGCGGCACGAACACGUGGGGUGCCAACAGGAUUAGGUCCCUUAGCAGUA
rnacentral:rRNA from 1 species